UAGGGAAUAUUGCAAAAUGGGCGAAAGCCCGAUGCAGCAACGCCGCGUGGGCGAUGAAGGCCUUCGGGUCGUAAAGCCCUUUUUGAGGGGAUGAGGAAGGACAGUACCCUCAGAAUAAGCCUCGGCUAACUACGUGCCAGCAGCCGCGGUAAAACGUAGGAGGCGAGCGUUAUCCGGAUUUACUGGGCGUAAAGCGCGUGCAGGCGGAUUGGAGAGUUGGAUGUGAAAGCUCCCGGCUUAACUGGGAGAGGUCGUUCAAUACUUCCAGUCUUGAGUGCAGUAGAGGGAAGUGGAAUUCCGGGUGUAGUGGUGAAAUGCGUAGAUAUCCGGAGGAACACCCGUGGCGAAAGCGGCUUCCUGGACUGUAACUGACGCUCAGACGCGAAAGCUAGGGUAGCAAACG
rnacentral:rRNA from 1 species